GCCAGGCGCGGUGGCCCGUGCCUGUAGUACCAGCUACUCAGGAGGCUGAGGUGGGAGGAUCACUUGUACACAGGAGUUCUGGGCUGUAGUGCGCUAUGCAGAUUGGGUGUCCGCACUAAGUUCAGCAUCAAUAUGGUGACCUCCUGGGAGCGGGGGAUCACCAGGUUACCUAAGGAGGGGUGAACUGGCCCAGGUCGGAAAUGGAGCAGGUCAAAACUUCCAUGCUGAUCAGUAGUGGGAUCGCGCCUGUGAAUAGCCACUGCACUCCAGCCUGGCAGCAUAGCAAGACCCCAUCUCU
rnacentral:SRP_RNA from 1 species